AGAGUUUGAUCCUGGCUCAGGAUGAACGCUAGCGGCAGGCCUAAUACAUGCAAGUCGAACGGGCUGGAGUAGCAAUACUCCAGUUAGUGGCGCACGGGUGCGUAACGCGUAUGCAACCUACCUUUUAUUGGGGGAUAGCCCGAAGAAAUUCGGAUUAAUACCGCAUAAUAUCAUUUGAGGGCAUCUGAGGAUGAUUAAAGCUACGGCGAUAAAAGAUGGGCAUGCGUGUCAUUAGCUAGUUGGUUGAGGUAACGGCUCACCAAGGCGACGAUGACUAGGGGUUCUGAGAGGAUGAUCCCCCACACUGGUACUGAGAUACGGACCAGACUCCUACGGGAGGCAGCAGUAGGGAAUAUUGGGCAAUGGCGGAAACGCUGACCCAGCCAUGCCGCGUGCAGGAUGAAGGCCUUCUGGGUUGUAAACUGCUUUUAUCUAGGAAGAAAAUACUCUUGCGAGAGGAACUGACGGUACUAGAUGAAUAAGCACCGGCUAACUCCGUGCCAGCAGCCGCGGUAAUACGGAGGGUGCAAGCGUUGUCCGGAUUUAUUGGGUUUAAAGGGUGCGUAGGCGGCUUCAUAAGUCCGUGGUGAAAGCCAACAGCUCAACUGUUGAACUGCCAUGGAUACUGUGAGGCUUGAGUACAGACGAGGUAGGCGGAAUGGAUCGUGUAGCGGUGAAAUGCAUAGAUACGAUCCAGAACUCCGAUUGCGAAGGCAGCUUACUAGGCUGUAACUGACGCUGAGGCACGAAAGCGUGGGGAGCGAACAGGAUUAGAUACCCUAGUAGUCC
rnacentral:rRNA from 1 species